UGAAAGCUGGUAUGAAUGGUUGGACGAGAAGAUGACUGUCUCUGUUUAAUUGACUUAUAAUUUUAUGUUUAAGUUAAAAAGCUUAAAUAAUAUUAAAAGACGAGAAGACCCUAUAGAGUUUUAUAUAUAAAUGAGUUUUAGAUUGAUUGAAUAAGAGGCUAUUAAUAUUUGUUUAUGUAUUUUGUUGGGGUGAUAGGAAAAUUGGUUAAACUUUUUUUUGUUUUAUACAUUUAUUUAUGAGUAGUUGAUCCAUUAUUUAUGGUUAUAAGAUUAAAUUACCUUAGGGAUAACAGCGUAAUUUUUUUUGAGAGUUCAAAUCGAUAGGAAAGAUUGCGACCUCGAUGUUGGAUUAAAAUUUACUUAAGGUGCAGCAGCUUUAAGGGGGGG
rnacentral:rRNA from 1 species